rnacentral:rRNA from 1 species
GAUGAACGCUGGCGGCGUGCCUAAUACAUGCAAGUCGAGCGAACAGAUGAGGAGCUUGCUCCUCUGACGUUAGCGGCGGACGGGUGAGUAACACGUGGAUAACCUACCUAUAAGACUGGGAUAACUUCGGGAAACCGGAGCUAAUACCGGAUAAUAUAUUGAACCGCAUGGUUCAAUAGUGAAAGACGGUUUUGCUGUCACUUAUAGAUGGAUCCGCGCCGCAUUAGCUAGUUGGUAAGGUAACGGCUUACCAAGGCAACGAUGCGUAGCCGACCUGAGAGGGUGAUCGGCCCCACUGGAACUGAGACACGGUCCAGACUCCUACGGGAGGCAGCAGUAGGGAAUCUUCCGCAAUGGGCGAAAGCCUGACGGAGCAACGCCGCGUGAGUGAUGAAGGUCUUCGGAUCGUAAAACUCUGUUAUUAGGGAAGAACAAACGUGUAAGUAACUAUGCACGUCUUGACGGUACCUAAUCAGAAAGCCACGGCUAACUACGUG